AAGAGACAGCAGUAGCCGCGGUAAUACAGAGGGUGCGAGCGUUAAUCGGAUUUACUGGGCGUAAAGCGUGCGUAGGCGGCUUUUUAAGUCGGAUGUGAAAUCCCCGAGCUUAACUUGGGAAUUGCAUUCGAUACCGGGAAGCUCGAGUAUGGGAGAGGAUGGUAGAAUUCCAGGUGUAGCGGUGAAAUGCGUAGAGAUCUGGAGGAAUACCGAUGGCGAAGGCAGCCAUCUGGCCUAAUACUGACGCUGAGGUACGAAAGCAUGGGGAGCAAACAGGAUUAGAUACCCCUGUAGUCCCUGUCUCUUAUAC
rnacentral:rRNA from 1 species